GACGGAGGAUGCAAGUGUUAUCCGGAAUCACUGGGCGUAAAGCGUCUGUAGGUGGUUCGAAAAGUCCACUGUUAAAAAUUGAGGCUUAACUUCAAAGAUGCCGUGGAAACUUUCAAACUAGAGUAUGGCAGGGGUAGAGGGAAUUUCCAGUGGAGCGGUGAAAUGCGUAGAUAUUGGAAAGACCACCGAUGGCGAAGGCACUCUACUGGGCCAUUACUGACACUGAGAGACGAAAGCUAGGGGGAGCAAAUGGG
rnacentral:rRNA from 1 species